GCUUGCUUUAAUAAUGCAUAUGUUAAACUUGAACUGAGGCAAAGAAGAUUAGCAUGUCAUCUGUACAACGAUGACAUGCAAAUUUAUGAAGCAUUUCAUAUAUUU